rnacentral:rRNA from 1 species
UCUACGGGUGGCUGCAGUGGGGAAUAUUGGACAAUGGGCGAAAGCCUGAUCCAGCCAUGCCGCGUGUGUGAAGAAGGCCUUCGGGUUGUAAAGCACUUUCAGUGGGGAAGAAAGCCUUGGGGCUAAUACCCUCGAGGAAGGACAUCACCCACAGAAGAAGCACCGGCUAACUCCGUGCCAGCAGCCGCGGUAAUACGGAGGGUGCGAGCGUUAAUCGGAAUUACUGGGCGUAAAGCGCGCGUAGGCGGUCUGAUAAGCCGGUUGUGAAAGCCCCGGGCUCAACCUGGGAAAGGCAUCCGGAACUGUCAGGCUAGAGUGCAGGAGAGGAAGGUAGAAUUCCCGGUGUAGCGGUGAAAUGCGUAGAGAUCGGGAGGAAUACCAGUGGCGAAGGCGGCCUUCUGGACUGACACUGACGCUGAGGUGCGAAAGCGUGGGUAGCAAACAGGAUUAGAUACCCUGGUAGUC